rnacentral:tRNA from 1 species
GCAGGCAUCGUAUAGUGGCCAAUAUCUCAGCCUUCCAAGCUGAGGACGCGGGUUCGAGUCCCGCUGCCUGCU